rnacentral:rRNA from 1 species
CAAGGAGUCGGAGCGGUAAUUUAUUACCGUCACGGCGUGCCUAUUGAAGAAUGAGCCAACGAGUUAAUGAAUACUGCGCGGCUAAGCCCGAGAGGGUGGAGCCAUAGGGAAACCGAGUGCGAAUAGCGCGUUUGUAGUAUGCAUUAGACCCGAAGCCAAUGCGAGCUUACCAUGAGCAGGGUGAACUAUGUCGAAAGAUGUAGGGAGGCCCGAACCCGUUAGUCGUUCAACUCUUUGGGAUGACUUGUGGUAAGAAGUGAAAAGCUAAUCGAGCUUGGUAAUAGCUGGUUCUCUCCGAAAUAGCUUUUGGGUUAGCGUCAGGUGUUCCUCUUGGGGGUAGAGCACUGGAAGAGUUCGACAGGGAGCAAUCUCGCGAACUCUAUCAAACUCCGAAUACCAAGAGUUAAGAACCUGGCAGUUAGACCGUGGGGGCGAAGCUCCACUGGUCAAAAGGGAAACAGCCCAGAUCCAUAUUUAAGGUCCCUAAAUCUAUGCUCAGUGCAAGUAAGGAUGUAAAGUUUCGAUGACAAUGAGGAGGUUUGCUUAGAAGCAGCAAUCCUUGAAAGAUAGCGUAACAGCUCACUCAUCGAGAGAUUCCGCGCCACAGAUACGCGGGGCUAAAGCAUGGUACCGAAACUGGGGGUUAUAUGUUUCUUCGGAAUCAUAUAGCGGUAGGAGAGUAUUCUUGUCUGCGAUGAAGGCAAAGGGGUGACCCAUGCUGGAGCGUCAAGAAGUAAGAAUGUUGGCACAAGUAACCACAAUCGAGGUGAAAACCCUCGACGCCGAAAGAUCAAGGUUUCCUUCGCUAUGACAAUCAGCGAAGGGUUAGUCGGGCCUAAGGGGAUGGUGAGAACCGAACCCGAUGGACACAUGGUUAAUAUUCCAUGACUUUCAUAUAGAGUGACGGACUGACGAAGUGUAGUAUGUGCGGCCUCCUAUUGGAUAGGGGUCCACGUCUUAAGAAUGUUCUGCAGGCAAAUCCGCAGACUGACUUUAAUGUCGAAUUCAAAUGAAAUGGUGAUGCGGGUGAUUCGUUGCCCGAUAAACGCAUAAAGCACGCUUCCAAGAAAAGGUUCUAAACUUAUCUAUAUGAAAACCGUACCGCAAACCGACACAGGUGAUCAGGUCGAGAAGACCAAGGCGAACGGGUUAGAGGUCUCCAAGGAACUCGGCAAAAAAGCAGCCGUAACUUCGGAAUAAGGCUUGCCUCUCGUAAAAAAGAGGUUGCAACAAAAGUAUCCCAACCGACUGUUUAUCAAAAACACAGCUCCCUGCGAAGUCGCAAGACGAUGUAUAGGGGGUGACACCUGACCAAUGCCAGAAGGUUAAAUAUCGGCGUUCUUAUAGCAAUAUAAGGGUGACUGAUAUAUGCCCUGGUGAAUGUCGGCCGUAACUAUAACGGUCCUAAGGUAGCGAAAUUCCUUGUCGGGUAAGUUCC